UACGUAGGGUGCAAGCGUUGUCCGGAAUUAUUGGGCGUAAAGAGCUCGUAGGCGGUUUGUCGCGUCUGCUGUGAAAACUCAGGGCCUAACCCUGAGCCUGCAGUGGGUACGGGCAGACUAGAGUGUGGUAGGGGAGAUCGGAAUUCCUGGUGUAGCGGUGGAAUGCGCAGAUAUCAGGAGGAACACCGGUGGCGAAGGCGGUUCUCUGGGCCUGUACUGACGCUGAGGAGCGAAAGCGUGGGGAGCGAACAGG
rnacentral:rRNA from 1 species